AAGACUAUACUUCACAGGAUCAUUUCUGUAGUCAGUCUUCAUUUACUUUCUUUGUAAAUCGAAAGUAUUUGCACCCUCGAUGAGGUGGUAUAUCGUUUUAUCUGACAGCGUGACGUUUAUGAACUUCAUUUCUAGUUUUCUCUUGUAUUACCGUUGUCAACUGCAGGUACGCAAGCAUUUGCAGAUAUUAUCGGAGAUCCAGUAGA